UACGUAGGGUGCAAGCGUUGUCCGGAUUUAUUGGGCGUAAAGAGCUCGUAGGCGGUUCGACAAGUCGGGUGUGAAAACUCCGGGCUCAACCCGGAGACGCCACCCGAUACUGUCGUGACUGGAGUCCGGUAGGGGAGUGGGGAAUUCCUGGUGUAGCGGUGAAAUGCGCAGAUAUCAGGAGGAACACCGGUGGCGAAGGCGCCACUCUGGGCCGGUACUGACGCUGAGGAGCGAAAGCGUGGGUAGCAAACAGG
rnacentral:rRNA from 1 species